rnacentral:rRNA from 1 species
CCUACGGGCGGCAGCAGUGGGGAAUAUUGGACAAUGGGGGGAACCCUGAUCCAGCGACGCCGCGUGAGUGAAGAAGUAUUUCGGUAUGUAAAGCUCUAUCAGCAGGGAAGAAAGAAAUGACGGUACCUGACUAAGAAGCCCCGGCUAACUACGUGCCAGCAGCCGCGGUAAUACGUAGGGGGCAAGCGUUAUCCGGAAUUACUGGGUGUAAAGGGAGCGUAGACGGUGAUGUAAGUCUGGAGUGAAGGGCGGGGGGCCAACCCCCGGACUGCUCUGGAAACUAGGUGACUGGAGUGCAGGAGAGGUGAGCGGAAUGCGUAGUGUAGCGGUGAAAUGCGUAGAUAUUAGGAGGAACACCAGUGGCGAAGGCGACUCACUGGACUGUAACUGACGUUGAGGCUCGAAAGCGUGGGGAGCAAACAGGAUUAGAUACCCUAGUAGUC